CCGGGAAGCAGAACCACAGGGAUUGCCCCAGUAACGGCGAGUGAAGCGGCAACAGCUCAAAUUUGAAAUCUGGCCCCUAGGGUCCGAGUUGUAAUUUGUAGAGGAUGCUUUUGGUGAGGUGCCGCCCGAGUUCCCUGGAACGGGACGCCACAGAGGGUGAGAGCCCCGUCUGGCUGGCCGCCGAGCCUCUGUAAAGCUCCUUCGACGAGUCGAGUAGUUUGGGAAUGCUGCUCAAAAUGGGAGGUAUAUGUCUUCUAAAGCUAAAUAUUGGCCAGAGACCGAUAGCGCACAAGUAGAGUGAUCGAAAGAUGAAAAGCACCUUGAAAAGAGGGUUAAAUAGUACGUGAAAUUGUUGAAAGGGAAGCGCUUGUGACCAGACUUGGGCGCGGCGGAUCAUCCGGGGUUCUCUCCGGUGCACUUCGCCGCGUCUAGGCCAGCAUCAGUUCGUCGCGGGGGAAAAAGGCUUCGGGAACGUGGCUCCUCCGGGAGUGUUAUAGCCCGUUGCAUAAUACCCUGCGGUGGACUGAGGACCGCGCAUCUGCAAGGAUGCUGGCGUAAUGGUCACCAGCGACCCGUCUUGAAACACGGACCAAGGAGUCGUCUUCGUAUGCGAGUGUUCGGGUGUCAAACCCCUACGCGUAAUGAAAGUGAACGCAGGUGAGAGCUUCGGCGCAUCAUCGACCGAUCCUGAUGUUCUCGGAUGGAUUUGAGUAAGAGCAUACGGGGCCGGACCCGAAAGAAGGUGAACUAUGCCUGUAUAGGGUGAAGCCAGAGGAAACUCUGGUGGAGGCUCGCAGCGGUUCUGACGUGCAAAUCGAUCGUCAAAUAUGGGCAUGGGGGCGAAAGACUAAUCGAACCUUCUAGUAGCUGGUUUCCGCCGAGU
rnacentral:rRNA from 1 species